UGGAAGCUUGAAUCCUUGAGAAGAACACACUUGUCAGGAUUUCUAGAAUCAACAACGCGACGCAUAUACUUGGUCGAGGCUUUAUUUUUAACCAGGCAUGCCGCGAAUGCAGGAAUUAGUUGAACAUCAGCGCUGGACCAUCUCGGACGUGUUCGGAACACGUUCGAACAUCACGUAAAUUUAGUUUGCAUGCCCCAUCUUCUCUAAUGUCACAAUCAUUGUACAAUUCAAAAUGUCCCGACGAAGUAAACAGGGUUUCAAACGCAAUUAGCUAAUGUAUAACAUAGACAGGCAUGAGACGAGAAGAAAUAUGAUCCGCUGAAAUAACGAUAAGCAGUGCACAGUCUUCUCCUCUGUUCCGGUUUCGGGAAACUUUUGCACGUUACAUGACCCGAAGUGAGUUCCUUGUUCACCGGGGGUGGAUAGAAGCCGGAUGAGGAAGAUUGUAAACGAGUUUUAACCACUUCUAAAGGGCAGGUAACUAUCGCACCGGUCGUCCCAGCCACUCUGUGAAACAAAAAAUCCAAUUAAUAAGAAAUGAAUGAAGAGAUCAACAGGAAAUUGAUACGAAAGGUCGAUAAAUUGAAAUAAAGGACAAAAUUGUAUACGUAAAAAACUAUCUUUUCUCAGACAUUUCGUCUAAUAUAUGUAUGUAACACUACGAUGUUAAUACGUAUGUAUAUAUGAUGACAAAUUAUUUGUAGCAUUAUUCGAUGGAAUUAUAUCACUAAAAUAUCAA